GAUGAACGCUGGCGGCGUGCCUAAUACAUGCAAGUCGAGCGAACAGACGAGGAGCUUGCUCCUUUGACGUUAGCGGCGGACGGGUGAGUAACACGUAGGUAACCUACCUAUAAGACUGGGAUAACUUCGGGAAACCGGAGCUAAUACCGGAUAAUAUUUCGAACCGCAUGGUUCGAUAGUGAAAGAUGGCUUUGCUAUCACUUAUAGAUGGACCUGCGCCGUAUUAGCUAGUUGGUAAGGUAACGGCUUACCAAGGCAACGAUACGUAGCCGACCUGAGAGGGUGAUCGGCCACACUGGAACUGAGACACGGUCCAGACUCCUACGGGAGGCAGCAGUAGGGAAUCUUCCGCAAUGGGCGAAAGCCUGUCGGAGCAACGCCGCGUGAGUGAUGAAGGUCUUCGGAUCGUAAAACUCUGUUAUUAGGGAAGAACAAACGUGUAAGUAACUGUGCACGUCUUGACGGUACCUAAUCAGAAAGCCACGGCUAACUACGUG
rnacentral:rRNA from 1 species